rnacentral:rRNA from 1 species
GACGAACGCUGGCGGCGUGCCUAAUACAUGCAAGUCGAGCGGACUUAAAAAGCUUGCUUUUUAAGUUAGCGGCGGACGGGUGAGUAACACGUGGGCAACCUGCCUGUAAGACUGGGAUAACUUCGGGAAACCGGAGCUAAUACCGGAUAAUCCUUUUCUACUCAUGUAGAAAAGCUGAAAGACGGUUUACGCUGUCACUUACAGAUGGGCCCGCGGCGCAUUGGCUAGUUGGUGAGGUAACGGCUCACCAAGGCGACGAUGCGUAGCCGACCUGAGAGGGUGAUCGGCCACACUGGGACUGAGACACGGCCCAGACUCCUACGGGAGGCAGCAGUAGGGAAUCUUCCGCAAUGGACGAAAGUCUGACGGAGCAACGCCGCGUGAGUGAUGAAGGUUUUCGGAUCGUAAAACUCUGUUGUUAGGGAAGAACAAGUACGAGAGUAACUGCUCGUACCUUGACGGUACCUAACCAGAAAGCCACGGCUAACUACGUG